GGGAAGGUGGCUCAGUGGUAGAGUGCUUGCCUUGCAUGCAUGAGGCCCUGGGUUCGAUUCCUCAGCACCCU
rnacentral:tRNA from 1 species